UCCGAGUUGACCCCGGCAGUCUCCCGUGAGUCCCCAACCCGCCAAAGACGGUUGCUGGCAACACAGGACAAGGGUUGCGCUCGUUGCGGGACUUAACCCAACAUCUCACGACACGAGCUGACGACAGCCAUGCACCACCUGUACACCGACCCAAAGGGGGGCCAUGUCUCCACAGCUUUCCGGUGUAUGUCAAGCCUUGGUAAGGUUCUUCGCGUUGCGUCGAAUUAAGCCACAUGCUCCGCCGCUUGUGCGGGCCCCCGUCAAUUCCUUUGAGUCUUAACCUUGCGGCCGUACUCCCCAGGUGGAGCAUGUGGUUUAAUUCGAAGCAACGCGCAGAACCUUACCAGCGUUUGACAUCCUCAUCGCGGAUUUCAGAGAUGAUUUACUUCAGUUCGGCUGG
rnacentral:misc_RNA from 1 species